CCAACAUCAGCUAUACAAGUUUAGCAUACUGUUAACCUAAAAAUAUGUUCUACAUAAAAACAGUUUUACAUAAAACUGAACAUGAAGCGUCUGCAUCAAAAUAAGUUUUAUAGUUGUAUGCACUAAAUAAUUCACCCAUUCAGUACAUGUUUAUGAAGUACUGUGCUUCGAGUUACUGUGUUACAUGCUGGGAUUAUUGCAAAAAGUGAAAGAAGAGGAUCUAAUUGUAGCUCAGAUUCCAAAAGGAAGUUCAUUAUAAGGAAGUAAAAAGACAGCGGCUUCCCCACAGCGUGGGGAGAACCCUGGGGGAUGCCAAGGAGAGGGCGGCCGGCCUCAGAGAGGAAUGGCAAGAGUCGUGUAGAUGAGUGGUUCCAAGCCUUGGACAUGGGUCGGUUCACCUAGAGGGCUUGUCAAACGCAGACUGCUUAGCCUUAUUGCCGGAGUUUCUGAUCCAAGAGUCAGAGGUGGGGCCAGAGAAUCUGCAUUUCCAACCAAUGUCCAAGUGGUGCUGAUGCUCUUGGUCUGGGGCCACGCUUGGAGAACCACUGUUCUAUAGAAAUUCAUGGUAAAAAUAGGAAGAUUAAGAACUCUGGAAAAUGCAUAAGGUCAGCACAGUAAUCUGAGCCAAGUUCCAACAUCACAUAGAGAAGCUCAGAGAACUCCCAGAGGAGAUGGUUCAGACCGGAGGGGAGAGAGGCUGUCUCUUGCCCACACCUCUUAAGCCUCAUUAGAAAGUCCCUUAAUGAAAAGGCAUCAGAGAUGGACACCUGAAUCUGUCACCAUCCUGUGGCUUAUUUUCCAUCUGUGCUUUCAUUGACGGAAUGUCUGUUUUGCUCUUGCAGUGUGAGAAAUACAAAAAGGGCUCCAAUGGAUCUUCUCACCCAGGGCAGCCAGGCCUGGGCCGCCCCCUUCCCUCCGGGUCAGUGAUGGGUUAGCAUUUCAGGGCCAAUAUAAGUUGCCGGGCACCUGGAAGACAACCGCACUGGCAAGAUUCUGUUUAAGAGUCCAGGGCCACUGGGGAAGUUUGGUGGAGAGGGACACAAGAGGGUUUUGUGUGGACUGCAUUGUGUCCCCCUAAAAUCAUCUGUUGAACCCCUAACCCCCAAUGUGACUGUACUUGGACACAAGGCCUUUUUAGGGGUAAUUACGGUUAAAGGAGGUCGUCAGGGCCGAGCCCUAAUCCAAUGGGAUGAGUGUCCUUCUAAGAAGAGGAAGAGACAUUGAGUGCCCACACCAACAAAAGGCCAUGUGAGGUCACAGUGAGAAGGUGACCGUCUGCAAGCCAAGGAGAGACCUCAGGAGCAAUCAUAUCUGCCAGUACUUUCAUCUUGGACUUCAGCCUCCAGACCUGUGAGAAAAUAAAUUUCUGCCGUGGAAGCCCCACCGUCUGUGGUCGUUCGUUGUGGCAGCCUGAGCAAGUAAUACAGGGUGCAACCAAGGUGAGAAGAAUGCGUCCAUCAGCCACUCCCAGUUGGAGGGGGAUUCCCUCCGUGUGAACAGCCUUCGUGUCCAGGAAGUGGUCCCAGAGGAAGAAGGAAGAGCUAGCCCACCUUGGGCAAAAUUCUCAGGGGCUUAUGAAAAGCAGGUGUCAAAGGGCAAUCCCAGGGAACUUACUCACUGGGCACCGUGACCUCGGAACUGGUUCUGCCGAAUGAGUCCCUGGAGUGAGAAGAAGCCCCUAGCUUCGAUCCAGCAGAGUGCAAGGAGAAGCCGGAUCGGCAAGCUGAAGCGGGAGUGGUGUCGGUGGUGGAGCCCUCCCCCGCUUUAGCUGUUCCCACUAGUGGGACAGUUUGCGCCUCACAGGGAAUUGUUUACCUGGGCAGUUAAAAAGGCAGGAUUGCGUGGUGUCUGUGGGCUGUGGGAGACAGACGGGUCCUUUCUCUGUUGACCCUCGCCACGAUCACUCAGGCUUGAGUCCAGACUCAGUGACCAGGAAGGAAAUGUGGAAAGGAUCAACGGGCCACACGUACCCCAACAACUCCCAGCAGCCAGGUCCCAAUGUGUCCAGGUGGUAGAGACGAGAACCUGCAGCCGAGCAUCAGGGCAGAAGUCCUUGUCUUCCCGUGGACAUUCUCUAGAAGAGAGUAACGCCGAUCUGGGCUGUUGGAGCAGCGUGCACUUAGGAAGCCAGUGGAUCCCAGGCUUUCUCCACGCUUGAGUGGCUUACAAAAUGUGCUUGCCUGAGUCCAAUGCCGGUGUUAGGGAACUGCGGGGGACGGUCAGAGAUGAGAACAGCCAGGCUCGCUCUGAGCUUGUGAGGCACAGCUGGCGAGGGUGGGGGCGUCUCUCCAGCCUGUCGGGCACCAUGAGUGGGCAGGCUGGGCAGAGGCAGGAGACGGACGCACCGGGCCCCCUUCCCUUCCGUGGUUCAUUUUAUCCCCCAACUCUGCGUGGGAACGUGGCUUUAGGAAGAAUAACACCAUCCUCGUCUUCCUGCUCUGGGGAUCUGAGAAUAAGUUAGGAUCUGCAGAGAGGACAGUUACCCAGGAUAACUUUCUGGAAGUGAAUUUGGGUGAAAAGGUAGAAACAUAGAUUUCUAGUGUUCAUGGCCCUUUCUCAGAUUCUCUCUACCCAGUGAGGGCUGCGCGCCAAUGGUGCCUCCCUCCCUGUCGCUCAUCUCCUCUUGCGUCGCAGCAGAGGGUAGGUGGCAGGACUGUUUCUAGGGGAGAAGUCCUUUAUCUGGAAAGAGGGGGUCAGGGAAAGGAGACUGCUGUGUCCCCGACCCCAUGUUACUGUUUUACCUUAAUAAAUAUAUAUAAGGACUA
rnacentral:lncRNA from 1 species